UUCUUUUUUGAAUAUUUGAUUCUCAAUAUCAUUGCCUUGUCUUGCCGCCAAAGUGUGUUAGUUUUUUUCUAGUUUGCUUGGUUUUCUUUUUUUAAAAACGCUAUUUGAAGGUUCGGUUUCUGGCUUGAUUUAUAUGAAUAUAUGAUAUAAAAACGUUGUUCAAAACAGCGCCUUAGACUUCAAGCGAGAGAGAGAGAGAGAGAGAGGAAUCGCUUUUGCCAGUGCUGCUAAUAGCUUUUUCAAUUUCUAGUAUCAUAGUCCAUAGAUCGUAGAUUAUGGGUGCGUAUAAAAGAUUCAGAAUCAGAAGGUUCGAUUCUAUUCUAACUUAUAAGUGGGAAUUGCCAACUUGCACUUGCACAGCAAUAAUUGACUGUUCUAAUAAUACAAUAUUGUGAUUAGUGACCAAAUUCUCAGUUCAGCAAGCCUAGAACAUUAACAACUGAUUAAUAAUAAGGAAUAAUUUUUUGAAAACUUUUAAUAUAUACCAUACACACAUAGAAUUUCAAUUUUCGAUGUCCGCCCUACGAUAAUUAAUAUUUUAUUAUCAAGACAAGACACAAAUUUUUUUAACUCAUUUUAAAAUUUUAAUUUUAUUAGGAAACAUUUUCAUUUACAACCCAAUUUAUUGCUUUCAUCCGCUUCGGUUUAUUUCAAGUUUUCAUUUUGUAAAUACCCUAUGGAUAUGUUGUAGUUGCUGGUGGUGGUGGUGGUAAUUUUAACCAGCCAUUCUUUACCAAGAGAACUACGUUUGAACAACACACUCCAUUGUUGUACUUAAAAAAAAUAAUAAUAAAUAACACUACAUUAUUGAAAAUUAGACAGAGUUGAAAAAAAAAAAAAAAAAAUUCCCGGCUCUAAUUUAUAGAAGGAAAAAGUAUAGCCCCAAUCUACUAUUUGUAAAUUGGAGUGAUUAUCUGUGUCUAGUUUUAAUUAAGUUGGAAAAGAAA